rnacentral:lncRNA from 1 species
GCCAAUUUUGGCCCGUUUACAAAAUACCCAGGCCCAUUAAACCAUUUAACCCAUCCUCAAACCCAAAACCUAAAAUUAACCUAGCCCAACAUCCAAGCCCAAGCCCAAUCCCAAAACCCUAAACUCCCACUUGCCUCUUCCCACUCUCCCAUGCUAUCUGCCACCAGCACCACUCCCACUCUCCCAUGCUGUCUGCCACCAGCACCAUCACACACCCCACCGUCCAUGCCCAUGCCCUGCAAACAAGCAAAACAGAAGCAAGAAUAGAAAAUAAUAAUAAAGUAUGUAAAAAUUAGGCCAUAUAAAAGCCACCCAAACAACAAACGAAAAUGGGGGAGGAUGUACAAAAAGUUUGUAUCAAAAACAAAAGAAAAAAGAAAAGCUUAGAAGGUGAACUUCAAUUUUUUUCCUCUGUUAUCUCAAUCUUUCUGUUUAUCUUUGCUUUGUUUUAUUUUUUUUCAUUAACUUACUUUAAAACGAAAAAGAAUCAAGGAAGAAAAUAGUCUUACCGGAUCUACCCCGUGGCCGCUCCCCUCUCCGUUCGGCACGGUGAACCGCCGGCAAUGAUGGGUGUUGAAACCUUAACUGAAGAAAGGAGGAAGAGAUAAAAAGGAGGGGUUUGAGAGUAGUUUUUCAGAAAAAAAAUAUAUAAAGGUUAAAUGGUUUUAAAAUAAAAAAUUGAAAAGUCAAAAGGAAACGGCACCACUAACUAUGAUUUGUAUGUUUCUGCUUUUAGGGAUAUUUGUCCCCCUGGUCCCUCAACCUCUCCAAUGCGCUGCAAUUUAGUGCUUUAGUUACCUUUUUCCUAUGAUUUUGCAAUUUGGCCACCUAAUUCUCUGAGGUUUUCAAUUUAGCCCCGUACCAAGCACUGCGUCUUAAUGAUUGGGGAUAUUUCUGUUUUCGGUCCUCCCAUGUUGCGCGCAUAUUGCAAUCUGGUCCUUUCCUCCUUAUUUUCUUUUCAAAUCUGCCCCACAACUUUGUUUUUAGUUUAAUUUUAAUCCUGUUUUCGUUUUGUUUUUCGUUUUUUUAUCUAAAUAUCCUUGUUUUUUUCAUAUUAUUAAUAUUAAUAUUUAUUAUUAUUAUUAUUAUUGUUAUUAUUGUACAUUAGUGUAUAUCUUCAUGUAUGUAUAUAUAUAUAUAGUAAUGUUUCUAUUACUUUAUUUUAAUAUUUUUAUUAUAAUGGCUUUUGUGUUUCAAUAUUAUUAUUAUUAUUAUUAUUAUUAUUAUUAUUAUUAUUUUUAUCAUUAAUGUUACUAUAUAUCCUUGUUAGAUGUAUACAUAUAUAUUACUGUUUUUAAUACCUUUAUUUUAAUAUCAUUUUAUUAUAUUUACCUUUUGGUAUUGUAUUACAUGGUUAUUAUUAUUAUAUUUAUUAGUGUAUGCCGCUUACCCCCCGUAUAUAUUUUUAGUACGUAUUAAUAGUCAAUUUUUUUAUAUAUAUUAUAUGAAUAAUUUAUAUAUAAUAUUAUGUAUAUAUUUUAAUAUUAUCAGUUAUAUAUCUCUAUACUAUAUGAUUUCUAAUACUGUUAUUUAUAUAUAUUUUCUUAGUACCACAUUAUGUAUAUAUCAUGUAUAUAUUUAUUUUUACCCAUAUUGUAUUUAUUAUUAAUUUUAAUACAUUUAUUUUAUAAUCCGUAUGUAUAUACCUUUCUUAUUUGUAUUAUUUGUGUAUGUUGCAUUAUUGAUUUUGUAUUUAUUAUUUUCCCUAUUGCUACUUAUUAUAUUAUUAUUUGGUGUAUAUAUAUCUUUUACUAUUAUUAGUAUAAAUGUAUUUUCCUUGUCCAUAGUAUUCCUAAUAUUAUUGUAUAUGUUCAAUUAUACUAUGUGUAUUUGUAUCUAGUACGUAUAUAUUUAGUAAUAUUGCAUAUAUAUGUCUAUUAGGCAUUAUAUUUUCAUACAUCAUGUAUAUAUGUCAUAUAUUAUAUUUUUGCAUAUUAUCUUAUGUAUAUAUUACCUUAUAUUAUUAUUACUAAAUGUACUUUAUAUUUGUUUAUGUUUGGUUUUUAUUUCCCUUUUAAAUAUUAUUAUUGUUUUGCUACUGCUCUAGUAUUAUGUUAAUAUUUUUCAUUUGAAAAUGUCAUUGUUUGCAUAUUUGAUUUAUUUCAAAUUCUUAUUUCAUGAAUAUUUUUAUGUUUUAAUUACUAAUCGAGGCAAUACACCGAUUUAACGUUAAGUCGUAAAUUUCAUCGCUAUGUUGGAUGGAAUUUGUCGGCUCGUGUUAAAACGGUAUAUCCUUCUCAAAAAUCAAAAAUUGAAAGUUCUCGUCUUUUAAAUUGGAUCACGAUUGGAAUUUAAAUUGAACUAGUAUUUUUGAAAAUUAAGACAACACAUGUUUAAAAGAUACCAAUUUUGGGCGUCGCGAGGGUGCUCAUACCUUCCUCGCGCGUAACUGACUCCCGAGCCCUACUUUUUCUCUGAUUUUAACGUAGACCUAAACUCGGCCUUCUUUUUAAAAAAAAAAUAAAUUUAUUAGGUGUCCGAUCAUACCUAUAAAAAGGAUCGAUGGCGACUCCCCUCUUUAUUUCUGUUUUUCAGUUUAUGUUUCAAAAAAAAUCAAACUUCAAUUUUCAAGUUCUCAAUAAAUUGCCACAAUUAGCGACACCAAACCAAAUUUCUUUUACGUCGCUACAGCUGGCGACUCCACUGGGGACAGCCUUUUUGAGAGUCGUGUCUGGAAUUAAACACGUUUUGUCAAAAUUUUCAAAUUUCCUUGUUCAAAGUAAAUAUUUGGUCGUGAUCCAAAAUCUCGUUUUUAAAAUUCAUGCAUUUGUAUCGUGCUGUAAAUAUUUCUUCUAACUUGCUUAUUUGGUUGUUUUUCAGUUUUUAAUUUUUAUGGUUUUAAUUUUGGUUUAGUUUCUUUCAGUAAAACGUAAAGGUUUAUGAGUUUUUCCCCACACUCCGUGCACUUGCAUUUUCGCAUAACAUGAGCUCUCUACCCGGGCUCCGUCCGUUUAAGUGAAAGUAAACGCUAUGCCUUCGUGAGUUAACUCGUCCCUCCGCACAGGCUAGUGAAUACUUUCGGGUUACAUAUGACUUAUGCUUUCGUGAGUUAACUUGUCCCUCCGCAUAGGCAUAAGUAAAUGUAAUCCCUCGAAUUGAACUCGUGAGCCUGUGAUGGGUUAUGACCGAGGCUUCGUACUAAUCUUAGCAGAUGAUAGUACGAGUAAUUCGAGUACCUGUCUAGAACCGAGACUGCAUAUAAUGAACCAUACGAGCUAUCCAAUUAGAGCCAUGUCGAACCUCUGUCCGCUUAUAGUCACCAAAAUAAGUACACGGGGAAAGUGCCUUUUGCCCUUCAUUUACACUCUUUCGAUUGGGUAGUUCAAUUUGUUUCUUAAAUUAUAUUUGUUAUGUUUACUAACCAAGUUUGUUUUUAUUUUUUUAUUUUCAUCAUGCAUCAUAGGCAUCAUAUUAGGAAGGUGUUGAUUAAAGGUUGGUUGCCAAAAAACGGGUUUCUGAUGGAGGAGUCAAUUACACAAAUAACCGAGAAAAAUACCGUGGUUCGAGACUGGUCUCUAAAAUCUCAGAGAGAAAAGGGGGAUAGUCUAGUGGAAGGGUGUGUUGCCAAUUUGCCCGAACAUAUAACUGUAAAUGUUCGCCAAAAUAACCUUGAGGAUCUGGUUCAAAUUUGGAAUCAGUGGGAUUCAGACAUUAGGGGCAUUUUCACUGAGAGGUAUGGAGAUAUAGCUCACUUGAUCACCAUCCGUGUAGACGAACAGUUGAUUCAAGCCAUGGUUCGAUUUUGGGACACAGCUUAUCAGUGCUUCACCUUCAAUCAAGAAGAUAUGACUCCAACCAUAGAAGAGUAUGCUGCUUUACUCCGCAUCGACAAUGUACAAUUCGGCAAAAUAUAUGUGAAGGAGCCUAAGCCGAUGACCUUCAAGAAAAAGUUAGUAAGACUGACAGACAUGACUGAUGCAUGGGCCGAAAAACAGAUAAAAAAGAAGAAUGAAACCAUUUGCAUUUCAUGGUCUUCCCUGCGAGAUUUGGCUCUGAACCAUCCCGACAUGCUGAAAAGGGUAAAUCUAUUCGCUUUGGCCAUUUAUGGUUUGGUCAUUUUCCCAAAAGUUCUCGGACAUCUCGAAGUUACAGUAGUUGAUUUCUUCGAGAGGUUAAAACAAGGAGUCAACCCUGUCCCAACUAUCCUAGCCGAGACCUUCAGGUCCCUGAGUAGUUGUCGAAGAAAAGGGGAAGGACGAUUUAUUGGAUGCGCGCAGUUGCUCAAUGUUUGGAUUUUGAGUCAUUUCUGGAAGGUAGAGCGCACUCCGUUCCAUAUGUUUUCUAAAACAUUCUCCCCGCUAGAAGCUUACCUCAAGAAAGAAUGGCCAAAGGAAGUCACCGAGCAACAUUGGGUAUCAGUUUUUCAGAAUCUUCGCGCCGAGGAUAUAACAUGGAGAGUACCCUGGAUCCGUCCUUCAGUUUUACUAUACAAAUGUGGAAGCCAAGAUUGGGUACCUUUACUCGGGUUAUGGGGAGGAGUUGGAUAUGCUCCGCUAUUAGUCUAAAGGCAAUUUUCUUCGCGACAUUUCUUACCCGCAACUGGAGGAUUAGCACAGUUCGAGUUCGAUUUCGCGGGUGAAGGAUAUAUGAAGAGAGUCCGAGACACUACAAAGUCUUGGAAGGAAAUUCAUACCAUGGAAUUAGCCUUGUAUGCUGAUACCCUUACCCCAGACUACGACAUAUGGAGGAAACGACGGGUAAAUAGUUAGUAAAUCUCGUCAACAAACUACACUAUCCAGAAUCCUUUCUCAGAGGAAAUACCGCCUGAGCUGGAAAUAUCUAGACAAGAAUUCGAACGAGAAAAAGCUAAGAUGUUUAGGGACCUUAGUACCCUUCAAGAAGAAAACUACCAGCUGAAGAUUGAAGUUCAGGUUGAAAGGUUCAGAACUGAAAAAGUACAAAGAGAAGCCGAGAUCGUGAGAAACGACUUAAGGGACCUUCAUUUGGAAAACAAGAAAUUAAGAAAUACUAUAAAGAAUAGUGGGUUGGGCAAGUCGACAGCAGAGUGGAAGGAAGAAAUUAGCAACAUCAAAGGUGGAAUGGAAUUUUGGAAGGGAAAAGCAAAAAAAGAGGAGGAAAAAGCUGCGCGCGCUGUGACAGAGUUAAGAAGGAAGAACACCGAGUAUGAAAUAGUGACUGCAGAAUUUGCGAAUAGUCAGUCUGAACAUCAAGAAUAAAAAAGGAAAGCACGAGAUCUAGAAAAUAUGCUGCAAUCUCGUCAACAACAAUUAGAUAACCUCCUGAAGGCUCUAGAGGAAAAGAAUGAUCAGUACGAUAGGGACAUUCAUGCGUAUGAAGGAACUCUCAAAGAAAAAAAAUACAACUCGACUUCUUGAUCAAUAAAACUCGCAAAGCGGCUAUGCAAGUUGUUCAAUUAUCAGAUGAAGCCGAAGUUCUCAGUUGCCAAUUCCCUCCGAGCCAAAGAUCGAACAUAUCAGAGUUUUUAGAGCAAGUGAAGAAACAAGGCAAUGUGGCUAGGAAAUUUGUGUAACCGUUAGAAAAAUGGAAACUUUGUGUAAUAGACUAUGUUGAUAAAUGAAAUGCCUAAAUAUGGGGCUAUCUUGAAAUCAACACCAAAUUCUUGCAUGUUUACUCAUAACUAACAUUUAUGCAUCAUUUAUUCUUUGAACAUUCAUCCAUUCAUAUACUCAUUCAUUCAUUCAUCGCGUGUACAUAUCACCAUAAUCAUCCACCGAAACUAAAGAACCGUAUAAUCCGCAGUUGCAAGAGUUCAAAUCUAGAACCACGCCAUUCCUAUAAAACGCACCGACAAGCUAGAGUAAUGGAAGCUGAAUUCAAUGAGAGAAUUGAAAGGAUGGAAAGGGCUCAAAAGGAAUUACAAGAGCAACUGGCCAAAUCGCAACAAGAGACGAGAGACCUAAUGGUGAGAUCUCGAGAGGAAUCACUCGAGCAAAGAGAUCAGAUGGCUAAAAUGAUGGAGAUGAUGACAACUUUGGUCAAAGGAAAAAUACAGAACCCUAAUGUUAUGGAACCUCAGUCAAGAAUUCACCACGAUCAGGAUCCACUCUAUCCCCCGGGAUUCACUCCACCGCCCGCAUAUACAACACAAAGAGGGUAUACUCAAGGGGAACCCACAGGCUUGGAACAUCGACCUAUGCCACCUGCUCCACCCACUAAUUUAGGGCAAGGAAUAUUCGCGUCGAACCCAGGGGCUAGUCCUGCUGAUCCACUAGUUCCAGAUUUGGAUGACCCAGCAGAGGUUGCCAAGUUAAAAUUGGAUAACCAUGACGCAAAAUAUAGGAGUCUAGAGGAAAGACUCAAAGUAAUAGAAGGCACUGAAGUCUUCUCCGCACUAGGUGCCAAGGAACUCAGUUUGGUACCUGAUCUAAUUUUGCCCUCGAAGUUCAAAGUGCCUGAUUUUGAGAAGUAUGAUGGGACAAGGUGCCCAAAAGCACAUUUCAUUAUGUUCUGUCGAAAAAUGACCGGUUAUGUGAACGAGGAUAAACUACUCAUACAUUGCUUUCAAGAUAGCCUAACAGGGUCAGCUCUUCGGUGGUACAACCAACUCAGUAGAGAAAAGAUUCGAUCCUGGAAGGACUUGGCGUCAGCAUUCUGCGAGCAGUACAAGCAUGUGUCAGAUAUGGUGCCAGACCGGAUGACUUUGCAAAUGAUGGAGAAAAAGCCAUCAGAAACCUUCAGACAGUAUGCGCAGAGAUGGAGAGACGUCUCGGCCCAAGUGGAACCUCCACUAACAAAAACGGAGAUAACCGUUCUCUUUAUCAACACCUUAAAGGCGCAGUUUUAUGACAAAUUAGUGGGAAGUGCCACGAAAGAGUUUGCGGAUAUUGUAAUAUCUGGUGAGCUCAUAGAGAAUGCCGUCAAGAGCGGUAGAAUAGAAGGCUCAGAAGGUUCAAAAAGGGCAGCACCUAUGAAGAAGAAAGAACCAGAAGCCCACAUGGUGGGAAUGAGAAGCCGUUAUGCCUCUAAUCCAUAUCCGAACCAACCCCGACCUCGAAAUUAUCCACCUCCAAAUUUCUAUUAUCCCCCUCAAAACCCUUACUACCAAGCACCACCUCAUUCUUAUCCCGUUUACACCACGAACAACCAAAGACCCAUCACCUCAUUCCCACAAAACACGAUACCCGCUCAAAGCCAACCCAGAAAUGAACCAAGACCAGUAAGGCCUAAUCCCGAGAGACCGCAGUUUACUCCCAUCCCUGUGUCGUAUGGGGAAUUGUACCCAAAACUUUUGGAGAAACAGUUAAUAUCCCCCCAUUACAUGGCACCCCUUAAACCUCCAUACCCAAAAUGGUACGAUCCAAACGCUAGUUGUGCAUACCAUGCUGGGAAUCAGGGGCAUUCUACGGAGAACUGUCUUGCCUUCAAAAGGAGAGUUCAAGGACUCAUUGAUGCGGGCAUUUUGCGAUUUGAUGGUACUGGCAGUACAACCGGGAAUCCAUUCCUAAACCACACCGAAGGGAAUGUGAGCACAGUAGGAGAAGAAAACGAACGGCAAAGUUGAAGAUGGGUUUCUGAAAUAAGAACACCUCUGCAGAAAAUCUGGGAGGUACUAGUUGAAAAAGAGUUGUUCUAUCGUCUUGACGGAGUAUUCGAAGGAAAAUAUGCAAAAGGUCACAGUUUUUGUGAGUUUCAUGGCGUUGAAGGGCACGACAUUCAGUCCUGCGAUGAGUUCAGAGGAUUACUGCAAAGUAUGAUGGAUAACAAGGAGAUUGGGAUCUUUUAUAAAAGCGAGGAGGCCGAUAGAGGAGAAAUAUGCGCUUCUGACAAUCAAUCAUUAGGUUUCCCAUAUAGCACCGACCGACAGUUAAUAAUUUAUUAUGACGCGAAGAAAGAGCCGGUGAAGCCAAAAAUGAUAAUCGAAGUACCAUCUCCUUUCCCUUAUAAGAACAAUAAAACAGUACCGUGGAGAUACGAUGUUAAUAUUGUCACACCAGAAGUUGGAAAUUCCAAAGCCAUAACUGAAGAUGUGGGAGAGGUAGGUCAUUUUACCCGAAGUGGACGGUGCUAUUCUAAAGAAAUUGAACCGGUAAAGAAAAGUAGUGACUCGAAGUAAAGAGGGAAAGCAGUGAUGCACGAAGUCGAAGUCGAGCAAGAAAUUCCACCCGUGCAAGAAACUAAAAAGCCUGUGAACGAGGAAGAAGCUCAGGAAUUCUUGAAAUUUAUCAAGCACAGUGAGUAUAGUGUGGUGGAACAAUUAAGCAAGUAGCCAGCACGAAUCUCAGUUUUAUCUCUACUCUUAAAUUCAGAGCCACAUCGGAACGCUUUGCUGAAGGUGUUAAAUCAAGCUUACGUAGCUAACUGUAGUGACGUAAAAAUUGGUUUCGGGUCGCUAAUUGUGGCAAUCUAGUGAAAAAGUUUGAAAACUGAAGUUUGAUUUUAAAAUAAAGAGGGAGUCGCCACCGAUCCAUUUCCUAGGUGUGAUCGGACACCUAUUAGAUUCAUUUUUUUUAAAACAAAAGGAAGGCUGGAUUUAGGUCUACGUUAAAAGCCAGAGGAAAAUUAGGGUUCGGGAGUCGGUUACGCGCGAGGAAGGUAUUAGCACCCUCGCGACGCCCAAAAAUUGGUAUCUCAUAAACACAUGUUGUCUUAAUUUUCAAAAAUGCGAAUUCAAUGUAAAGUUUAGUUAUGAUCCAAAAAAACGAGAAAUUUUAGUUUAUUCCGAUUUUUGAGAAGGGUAUGCCGUUUUAACACGAGUCAAUUGACGUUCACCCAACAUAGCGAUGAACUCAAUGACUUAAUGUUAAAUCGGUACAUUUCCUUGUUUAUUGAAAUUAAUUAGCAAAACAAGUAUAUAAUUUUCGAAAUAAUGCAAAGUAAAUUGAUAUGAAAUAAAAAUAAAUAAAUGAUAGGGCUAGGCAUAUAUUGAAACAAAUAACCAAUGUGACAAUAAUAUUAAAAUGAUAAAGAUCUAUACGACAUUUAGCGCAAUACUAGAAUUAAACACGAAAUAGAAACAAUGAAUAUAUACAUAAGAUGGUAUAAAAAUAUGUACAUGGAAAUGUAUAAGAACUAUAUAUAACUAGUAAUAUUAAAAAUAUAUAGAACAUAUAUAGAACAUAUACAAUACGUACAUACCUUAGAAAUGAUAAUAAUAAUAAGAAAACUAUUUCGUACACUACACGCAUACUUAUACAUAUAUAUAUAAAUAAUAGUAUUAGAAAUCAUAUAGUAUAAAGAUAUAUAACUGAUAAUAUUAAAAUAUAUACAUGAUAUUACAUAUAAACUAUCCAUGUAAUAUAUAAAAAAAUUGACUAUUAAUACGUACUAAAAAAUAUAUACGGAGGUAAGAGGCAUACACUAAUAAAUAUAAUAAUAAUAACCAUGUAAUACAAUACAAAAAAGUAAAUAUAAUAAAAUGAUAUUAAAAUAAAGUCAUUAAAAACAGUAAUAUAUGUAUAUAUACAUCUAAUAAGAAUAUAUAGUAAUGUUAAUGAUAAUAAUAAAAAUAAUAAUAAUAUUGAAAUACAAAAGCUAUUAUAAUAAAAAAUAUUAAAAUAAAGUAAUAAAAACAUUACUACAUAUAUAUAUACAUACAUGAAGAUAUACACUAAUGUACAAUAAUAAUAAUAAUAUUGAAAUACAAAAAAUGUAAUAUUUAAUAAAGAAACAAAAACAAAUAAAAAAGGACUAAAAUUGAACUAAUAACAAAGUUUUGGGGCAAAUGUGAAAGGAAAUAAAGAGAAAAGGACUUAUUUGAGCGCGCACAAAACAUAGGGGGACCGAAACAACAAUUAUUCCUUUCCAUUAAAACGCAGCACAUUAGCGGGGACUAAAUCGAAAAGCGCGAGAAAUUAUGGGGCCAAAUUGGAAACAAGAAAAAUGACUUAAUUGCAAAACCCUGAAAAAGCGAAAGGACCGCGCACAUAAAUAACCCAUUCAAACAAAACACGCGGAUCCUCCUGGCGGGUCGGGUCGGAUGGGUCGGGCAUGGUCAAAACUAACCAAAAAAAAUCAUUUGGGGAGAGGGAAAGAAAAAAAAAGAAGAGAGAGGGAAGAGAGAAGGGAGAGAGAAGGGAGGGGGGAAGGGGAAUCCGGCCAGGAGGUCGGUCACUGGACGGCCACCGGAGGCUCGCCGGCACCGGCGCCGGCCACCGCACGCGGUGGCCGGAAAAGGUAAAAAUUUAUAUUUUUUUUAUUGUUUAUUUUUUUGUAUUUUCUUUUAUGUUUUAAUAUAUGUAUAGGUUAAAAAAACUUAAAACCGAAUUUAAAAUAGAAAAAAAAAAGAAAUCACCUUAGGGUUUUUUUAAGCUUUUAAUCCUUUGAUCUUGGUGUUUUGAUAAUAUUCAAUACUGAUCUAUUGUUGCUCCUGAAAACUAAUCUGUAUUCUCUGCUUCUUUGUUUUUAAACUGCCGAAAAUAAGAAAAAGAAAAAAAUAGAAAAAAAAGACCCCCUUUGAAUCUAUUUGAAUGAAUAUCAAAAACGAAAAAAAAGAAGCCAACCCCUUUUACAUUGAUUCUUUUUCGGCUUUUAUAGCCGAUUACAUGUGAUUUUCACUGCUCUCUGCUUGUUUUGCUUUUGUUUUGCAUGUUUCUCCAUUCAUUUCCUGUCUUCUUCUGUUUAUUCUUUCCCCCAUCCCUCGCAUGCUGUUGUUUUUGUCUCUAUUACAGGUGUGUCAGGUGUGGGUGGUGUCAGACGCAUGGAGGAGAAGGGCAUGCGCGGGGUGUGGUGGUGGUGCGCAAGGUGGCCCAUGGUUGGCCUAGCGUGCGGCGGCUGGAGGCUUGGGGAGCUGCUAGGGUUUCCUCUUUUUUUUGGAAAAUGUUUAGUGGGCUAGGUUGAUUUGGGCCUGUUGGGCUAGUCUUUUAGUUUUGUACUUUGGACUUUAUUUAUUUGGUUUAUUGGGUUUUGUUAUUGGGUUUUGGGGGUGGCCCAAAAUUGGCCUGUACACUAACAACAUAUCCGUUGAGAAGCUUGAUAGGUGGGUUAACAAUCUGAAUGCGGACAAUUUCAUCUCUUUUAGUGAUGAUGAGAUACCGCCAAAUGGUAGAGGCUCGGUGAAAGCGCUGCAUAUCACAACUCGCUGCAAGGGCUACAUAAUACCAAACGUGCUCAUCGAUAAUGGGUCAGCGUUAAAUGUUAUGCCAUUGGCCACGCUUUCCAGAAUACCAAUGGAUUUGUCUUACUUAAGACCCUGUCAUUCCAUGGUAAAGGCAUUUGACGGGACAAUGCGAGAAGUUAUGGGAAAGAUUGAGAUCCCUCUGGAGGUGGGCCCUUACAUUUAUGAUGUCGAGUUCCAAGUCAUGGACAUUACACCCUCUUAUAACUGCCUUUUGGGAAGACCCUGGAUCCAUUCUGCUGGAGCAGUCCCAUCAUCCCUCCAUCAAAAGGUGAAAUUUAUCAUGGACGGUUGUUUGGUCACUGUCGAGGGAGAAGAAGACAUUGUCGCAUCUAUCUCUGUCGAUGCACCGUACUUGGAAGUGAACAAAGACGCAUUAGAAUGUUCCUUUCGAUCCCUUGAAUUCGUCAAUGCCACUUUUGUUGUUGAGGGAAACAAAAUUCCGGUGCCAAAACUGUCGAGAAAUACUAGAAUGGGUGUCAAAUUGACCGUAGAAAGGGGAGCUCGAGCGAGAAGAGGUUUAGGGAGAUAUCUGCAAGGAAUAGUUAGGGCUUUAAAGCCAGUGCACCACAAGGCCCGAUACGGUUUGGGGUUCCAGCCUGACAUGCGUCAAAGAAGAAGACAGUGGAAGAAGGAUCAAGAGAGAAGAAUUGCAAGAACUUUGGGCCGAGAACCAGAAUGAGAACCAAUAGAGUACCCUCAUUUGUCAAAAACAUUUACAUCUGCGGGAAUGAUGUACUCUGGACAAGAUGAUCCACGAAACAUGCUGGGGUUAAUUGAAAGGGGUUUUCAGAAUGUCAGUAUAAAUGUCAUUGACAAAGAGGCUGGUGCAAGUAAAGAUGUCUCGAGGAUACGCCCUUACCCUCCUGGUUUCAUGUUGAACAAUUGGACUGCUGAGGAACUUCUUGUAGUUUAUAAGUCUUCAGAGUAAUGCUAAACAUUAACCUUCUAUUGUGUCCUUAGAUAUAAUAGAAUUCUUUUGUAAGAGCUUGCAUUCGCUCUUUAUCAUUUAAAUGAAUAUCAAUGAAGAUGCAUUUUGUCACGAUUUUUCGCAUUAUCACUAAUUUCAUAAUCAUUUUCUCAUUUCAUAGCCUAUCCUUACAUUUGCCUCAUUGCCAUGACAUAACAUUUUGUUUGUUGUUUCCAAUACUUGGAUGUCCCCCUAUAGCUUCCUUUUCCAUUCAACUUUUAGGUGCUCAGAUAUUGACGACAUGAGUAAGCCCGUUACGAAUCUUGAAAUUGAUUUUGAGAAGGCUGUUUGCUUAGAAGAAUUUGAAGCUGAAGAAAAUGCUGAAGAUUAUGUCUCGUCUCCUGAAUUGUUAAGAAUGGUGGAACAAGAGGAUAAACAGAUUCUGCCUCAUGAAGAAUCUGUGGAAACAAUAAAUUUGGGCACUGAAGAGAGGAAACAAGAAGUGAAGAUUGGGACUUCUAUUUCAGAAAGUACCAGGCAUAGUUUGAUCACUUUACUCCGCGAAUACAAAGAUGUUUUCGCAUGGUAAUACCAGGACAUGCCAGGGCUAGAUGAAGAUUUAGUGGUCCAUAAGCUCCCAUUAAAGCCAGAAUGCAAGCCCAUCCAGCAAAAAUUAAGACGGAUGAGGCCCGAAAUGCUGUUGAAAAUAAAAGAGGAAGUCAAGAAGCAAUUUGACGCUGGCUUCCUACAAGCCUCCAAAUAUCCAGAAUGGGUGGCUAACAUAGUCCCAGUACCAAAGAAAGAUGGCAAAGUACAAAUGUGCAUGGAUUACCGUGACCUGAAUCGAGCAAGCCCAAAAGAUAAUUUUCCCUUGCCACAUAUUGACAUGUUGGUGGAAACACAGCAAAACAUUCAUUGUUUUCUUUCAUGGAUGGAUUCUCGGGGUAUAAUCAGAUCAAGAAGGCCCCUGAGGAUAUGGAGAAAACUACCUUCAUAACAAUGUGGGGAACAUUCUACUACAAGGUGAUGCCAUUCGGGCUAAAGAAUGCUGGGGCAACAUAUCAGAGGGCUAUGGUAACGUUAUUGCAUGACAUGAUGCAUAAAGAAAUAGAGGUUUACGUCGACGACAUGAUUGCUAAAUCUCGAGGGGAAGAAGAGCAUAUAGUGCACCUCAAGAAGUUGUUCGAAAGGCUAAGAAAGUUUCAGCUAAAGCUUAAUCCAGCUAAAUGUACAUUUGGGGCUACUUCGGGAAAGUUGCUAGGCUUCAUUGUCAGUGAAAGAGGUAUCGAAGUUGAUCCAGAUAAAAUAAAAACCAUCCAAGAAUUACCACCUCCGCGCACGCAAAAGGAAGUUAGAGGAUUUUUAGGGAGAUUAAACUACAUCGCCCGAUUUAUCGCUCAACUUACCAACCAAUGCGACCCAAUCUUUCGGCUUCUUCGAAAACAUAACCCGAGAGAAUGGAACGAGAAAUGCCAGGUGGCCCUUGAUAAGAUAAAACAAUAUUUGUCUAGUCCUCCAGUGCUAGUACCGCCAACUCCUGGAAGACCAUUGAUAUUGUAUUUGACUGUGUUCGAAAGUUCAAUGGGUUGCGUACUGGGGCAACACGACGAGUCAGGAAAGAAAGAAAAAGCGAUCUACUACCUCAGCAAAAAGUUCACUGAAUAUGAGGCAAAAUAUUCGUCCAUUGAGAAAUAUUGUUGCGCUCUAGUUUGGGUAGCUCGGAGACUCAGACAAUAUAUGUUGUAUCACACGACAUGGUUAAUUUCAAAACUGGACCCAAUAAAAUACAUGAUGGAAUCGCCGGCACUAUCAGGAAGAAUGGCACGAUGGCAGAUCCUCCUUUCAGAAUAUGACAUUGCCUAUGUAAGUCAGAAGUCGAUAAAAGGGAGCGCAAUAGCUGAUUUCUUAGCAACUCGAAUGACAGAGGAAUAUGAGCCUUUAAGAUUCAAUUUCCCAGACGAAGACUUAAUGUGCAUCACAGAAAUAGAAUCCGAGUCAUCAAAAGAGAAGUCAUGGAAGAUGUGCUUUGAUGGUGCGUCAAAUGCUUUAGGGCAUGGAAUUGGAGCAAUCCUGGUAUCACCAGACGGGAAUCAUUAUCCGUUCACUGCAAGACUGAAUUUCUUCUGUACCAAUAACAUAGCAGAAUAUGAGACUUGUAUCAUGGGACUUCGUGCAGCUAUUGAACGAAAUAUCUAAAUCUUAGAGGUGUACGGGGACUCAGCCCUAGUGGUUUACCAAAUCCGUGGAGAGUGGGAAGUGAGGGACCCAAAAUUGAUUAAGUACAGUGAUUUAUUGGCUGAAUUGAUCAAAGAAUUCAAAGAAAUAACUUUUCAUUACUUCCCGCGAGAAGAAAACCAAUUGGCUGAUGCCCUAGCCACCUUGGCUUCAAUGUUCAAAGCAAGUAAAGAAGCAGAAAUAAUGCCCCUCAAAAUGAGCAUAUACGAGGUCCCUGCACACUGUUGUAGCAUUGAAAAAGAAGUAGACGAGCGUCCAUGGUUCCAUGAUAUCUUAGAAUAUAUCAAGAAUCAAGACUACCCCAAACAAGUGAAUGAGAACGACAAAAGAACAAUUAGAAGAAUGGCAGCGGGAUUUGUUCUUGAUGGGGACAUCUUGUACAAGAGAGGAAAAGAUCAGAUGCUCUUGAGAUGUGUGGAUGAUGUUGAAGCUAGAAAAAUACUUGAAGAGGUCCAUGAGGGAAUCUGCGGAACACAUGCCAAUGGUUUCAAUAUGGCCAGAAAGAUCAUGAGACUCGAUUAUUAUUGGCUGACGAUGGAAAGUGACUGCAUCAAUUUUGCAAGAAAAUGUCACAAAUGUCAAAUCUACGGCGAUAAAAUUCAUGUAGCCCCUUCGCCCCUUCACGUCAUGACUUCUCCGUGGCCUUUUGCUAUGUGGGGCAUGGACGUUAUAGGGCGAAUUUCUCCAAAAGCAUCAAAUGGACAUCGAUUCAUUUUUGUGGUCAUCGAUUACUUCACAAAAUGGAUAGAAGCCGCUUCGUUUGCCAAUAUGACGAGGACUGCAGUUUGCAGGUUUUUGAAAAAGAAAUCAUUUGCCGUUAUGGUUUGCCUGAAAGAAUCAUUUCAGAUAAUGCCACUAAUCUGAACAAUAAGAUGAUGAAAGAAGUGUGCGAACAGUUCCACAUAAAGCAUCAUAACUCCUCGCCCUAUCGCCCAAAGAUGAACGGAGCUGUUGAAGCAGCCAACAAAAAUAUCAAGAGGAUCAUUGGGAAAAUGACUGAGACAUAUAAAGAUUGGCACGAGAAGCUUCCAUUUGCUCUGUUUGCAUAUCGCACAUCUGUGCGAACAUCUAUGGGAGCAACUCCUUUUUCUCUAGUCUAUGGAAUGGAAGCUGUGCUACCUAUCGAGGUUGAGAUCCCUUCUCUGCGAAUCUUAAUGGAAUCAAAGUUAGAAGAAGCAGAAUGGGUACAAGCUCGAUAUGAUCAGCUGAACCUCAUUGAAGAAAAGCGUCUCAGGGCAAUUUGUCACGGGCAGAUGUACCAAAAAAGAAUGAUCGCUGCCCAUGACAAAAAGGUACGACCAAGAGAAUUCCAUGAAUGAGAACUCGUGCUGAGGAAAAUUCUCCCAAUACAAAAUGACCUACGAGGAAAAUGGGCACCAAAUUGGGAAGGACCAUAUGUCGUAAUGAAGGCAUUCUCAAGAGGAGCUUUGAUCCUUACCGAGAUGGAUAGUAAGGAGCUACCGAAUCCAAUGAACUCAGAUGCGGUGAAGAAGUACUAUGCUUGAAAAAAGAAAGUCAAGAUGAAAACCCGAAAACGGUGCUUUGAUUAAACAUAAAAGAUUAGGAUGAAAACCCGAAAGGGCAUUUUAAUGAAGCAAGCACUGGCUUAAAAAGCAAGGCAUUUUGAACGCUGGGUCGAAUAGUGAGACUAUAGUAUUUGAAGCAUUUCUGAAAGCUCGAAAUCUUCUACGCAAGAAGCCAUGCUCGAAAAGAUUCUUGAUUGAGGAAUGUGGAAGAGUUCAUGCAUUGAAUAUCUAGAGCAUUUGUAUUCGUUGAAUGCAAUCCCUUUUCUCUUUAUGACACUCUUUUACUAUUACUGGUUAACUUUCUUUGUUCGAUACAUUUGAAAUAAAUAAAUGUGAGGCAUCCCUUUGUCCCUACCUGACCAUUUUCAUGCAUCUCAUUAUGUCGUUUAUUUUCAUGAUAAAUAGUGAAAUGACAUACUCUAAACAAAAGAAAUGUUAAUCAUUACCUGGAUAAGAACUCGAUAAGUACAAGAGCCUCAAAGCAAGGACGAAUUUCAACCAAGGGCAAGAGAGCGAUAAUUGAGAAACACAGAUUGUUCGUGAAACCCGAGGAUGGAUACAGGGCCUAAAGAGAAAGUCAAGAGCCGAAGUAAUGAAUAUAGUCGCAAAAAAAAAUCAUGACGAAGAAGGACAUACGACAAAUAUGCCUAAAGCUCAUAACAUAAUCAUAUAGGCAUAAAGGCAUUUAAGACAAACAUGUGCAUAUCAUGAUAACGUCAUGCAUGACAUAUACAGAUACUCAGUAGAGCGAGAGGCAUAAAGGCAUUUAAAACAAACAUGUGCAUAUCAUGAUAACGUCAUGCAUGACAUAUACAGAUACUCAGUAGAGCGAGAGGAGGUGAUGAUAGCUGUACUAAAUCCAAGGAAAAGACACCUGAGUUCCACCAGACAACAGGUUUUGGUAUUUUGAUGUUGUUACUUCCGUUUUCAAAAAUCAACUUAUAUUGCGAGAAAUGGGUUGAGCUUCGGGACACGCUGAGGUAAUUUUAAUUUCUAUUUUCAAAAAAAUCAACUCAUAUUGCGAGAGGUGAGUUGAGCCUCGGGACACGCUGAGGUAAUUUUAAUUUCUAUUUUCAAAAAAAUCAACUCAUAUUGCGAGAGGUGAGGUGAGCCUCGGGACACGCUUAGGUAAUUUUAAUUUCUAUUUUCAAAAAAAUCAACUCAUAUUGCGAGAGGUGAGUUGAGCCUCGGGACACGCUGAGGUAAUUUCAAUUUCUGUUUUCAAAAAAAUCAACUCAUAUUGCGAGAAAUGAGUUGAGCCUCAAGACAUGUUGAGGUAUUUUCAAUUUCUAUUUUCAAAAAUCAACUCAUAUUGCGAGAGGUGAGUUGAGCCUCGGUUCACAUGCUGAGGUAAUUUUAAUUUGUGUUGUCAAAAAAAUUAACUCGUAUUGCGAGAGGCGAGUUGAGCCUCAAGACAUGCUGAGGUAUUGUCAAUUUUUUGUAUGUUUCAAAAAUCAACUCAUAUUGCGAGAGGUGAGUUGAGCCUCAAGACAUGAUGAGGUAUUGUCAAUUUUUUAUAUGUUUCAAAAAUCAACUCAUAUUGCGAGAGGUGAAUUGAGCCUCAGGACGCGCUGAGUGAGUUGAGCUCAGGAUCACAUAUCGAGUAAAGAAUAAGAUUGGGGCCGAUUGAAGUCACCAGAUUUUGUUUCCUUGAAGUUGUAAUGGAGCUGAUCAAGGAUAUUAGAUGAUGUCCUUCUAAAGUUACAGAAGAGAAGACCACAAGCCUUAUCUGACUAAAGCAACAGAAGAGCAAAUUGAAGCUGUUAAUCUUAUAUUUCUGACGUCACAGUAAAGCAGAUCGAAGUUACAAAUCUUAUAUCCUUGAAGUUACAUUGAAGUAGAUUGAAGCCACAAAGCAUAUAUCAGAAGAGGUAAUGGAUUGAACCAAAGCUACAAGAUACGGGGGACUAAAAAGAGACUAUCUGGAUGAGAAGAUCACCAAAAGAAGUCAAAACUUAGCGAGACCGAGCAAAAUUGGCCUUUCUUUGUAUCUUUGCUCUAUUCCCGUUACACGACAAUAAGCAAAGAGGGGCAGCUAUUGUAGGCCAAUUUUGACCGUUUACAAAAUACCCAGGCCCAUUAAACCAUUUAACCCAUCCUCAAACCCAAAACCUAAAAUUAACCUAGCCCAACAUCCAAGCCCAAUCCCAAAACCCUAAACUCCCACUUGCCUCUUCCCACUUUCCCAUGCUGUCUGCCACCAGCACCACUCCCACUCUCCCAUGCUGUCUGCCACCAGCACCAUCACACACCCCACCGUCCAUGCCCAUGCCCUGCAAACAAGCAAAACAGAAGCAAGAAUAGAAAAUAAUAAUAAAGUAUGUAAAAAUUAGGCCAUAUAAAAGCCACCCAAACAACAAACGAAAAGGGGGGAGGAUGUACAAAAAGUUUGUAUCAAAAACAAAAGAAAAAAGAAAAGCUUAGAAGGUGAACUUCAAUUUUUUUCCUCUGUUAUCUCAAUCUUUCUGUUUAUCUUUGCUUUGUUUUAUUUUUUUUCAUUAACUUACUUUAAAACGAAAAAGAAUCAAGGAAGAAAAAAGUCUUACCGGAUCUACCCCGUGGCCGCUCCCCUCUCCGUUCGGCACGGUGAACCGCCGACGAUGAUGGGUGUUGAAACCCUAACUGAAGAAAGGAGGAAG